rnacentral:lncRNA from 1 species
UGGGCUCGGCCUGCUGUGCUCGGCCUUCUGGUUUCGGCCUUCUGGUCUCGGCUCUCUGGUCUCGGCUCUCUGGUCUCGGCUCUCUGGUCUCGGCCUUCUGGUCUCGGCCUUCUGGUCUCGCCCCUCUGGUCUCGGCCUUCUGGUCUCGGCCUUCUGGUCUCGGCUCUCUGGUCUAUGAGCUCGAGAGCGGAAGAGCCCGAUCACUUAGGAUGAGCUCGAGAGCGGAAGAGCCCGAUCACUUAGGAUGAGCUCGAGAGCGGAAGAGCCCGAUCACUUAGGAUGAGCUCGAGAGCGGAAGAGCUCCAUCACUUAGGAUGAGCUCGAGCUUGCUGAUGGAUUUGGGUGCUAUAAUUACAUUUGUGGGGUGGUCCAUUUUUCCACCAACA